UGCCAGCCGCCGCGGUAAUACGUAGGGACCAAGCGUUGUCCGGAAUUAUUGGGCGUAAAGCGCGCGUAGGCGGACUGGAAAGUUGGGGGUGAAAUCCCAGGGCUCAACCCUGGAACUGCCUCCAAAACUAUCAGUCUAGAGUUCGAGAGAGGUGAGUGGAAUUCCGAGUGUAGAGGUGAAAUUCGUAGAUAUUCGGAGGAACACCAGUGGCGAAGGCGGCUCACUGGCUCGAUACUGACGCUGAGGUGCGAAAGCGUGGGGAGCAAACAGGAUUAGAUA
rnacentral:rRNA from 1 species